rnacentral:rRNA from 1 species
CAGCAGCCGCGGGAAUACGUAGGGUGCAAGCGUUAAUCGGAAUUACUGGGCGUAAAGCGUGCGCAGGCGGUUCGCUAAGACAGAUGUGAAAUCCCUGGGCUUAACCUGGGAACUGCAUUUGUGACUGGCGGGCUAGAGUAUGGCAGGGGGGGGUAGAAUUCCACGUGUAGCAGUGAAAUGCGUAGAGAUGUGGAGGAUACCGAUGGCGAAGGCAGCCCCCUGGGCCAAUACUGACGCUCAUGCACGAAAGCGUGGGGAGCAAACAGGAUUAGAUACCCCCGUAGUCCCUGUCUCUUAUACA